rnacentral:rRNA from 1 species
GAUGAACGCUGGCGGCGUGCCUAAUACAUGCAAGUCGAGCGAACAGACGAGGAUCUUGCUCCUCUGAUGUUAGCGGCGGACGGGUGAGUAACACGUGGAUAACCGACCUAUAAGACUGGGAUAACUUCGGGAAACCGGAGCUAAUACCGGAUAACAUGUUGAACCGCAUGGUUCAACAGUGAAAGACGGUCUUGCUGUCACUAAUAGAUGGAUCCGCGCCGCAUUAGCUAGUUGGUAAGGUAACGGCUUACCAAGGCAACGAUGCGUAGCCGACCUGAGAGGGUGAUCGGCCACACUGGAACUGAGACACGGUCCAGACUCCUACGGGAGGCAGCAGUAGGGAAUCUUCCGCAAUGGGCGAAAGCCUGACGGAGCAACGCCGCGUGAGUGAAGAAGGUCUUCGGAUCGUAAAACUCUGUUAUUAGGGAAGAACAAAUGUGUAAGUAACUAUGCACGUCUUGACGGUACCUAAUCAGAAAGCCACGGCUAACUACGUG